UUUGUUUUCAGUAAUAAAAAUUUCUAUAAAAUAAUUUUAAAAAUUUGAAAAAAAAGAAAAGAUUUUUCGUUACGAGAAAAGUAAAAUUGGUUCAUUUGAGACUUAGUUUGGUAUUGAGAUUUAUCUAUCGCUAUUAGAUAGAAUGAAGUUGAGGAAAAGUAUAUAGAGAUAUACUUCUGCGUUCUCACCAUAGAAAAUAUAUCGUAACCGAUUAAUCGUAAUAUGUGCAAUGCAAUACUACGUACGGAAUCAAACAGGAUAUCUUUUCAUCAUCGUUUUUCACCACGUAAUGCAAUCUCCCCGCAAUUCCAAAUGAAACUAAGUGGCUCUGAUUCUACUUCAAAGAGAGGCUGUUGAAAAUAUAUGACGCGUGCUCCUGAUUCUGCUUCAAGCAGAAGUUAUUGAAGGUAUGUAGCAUAGUUCUUCUCCUUGUUAAUAUAGAUGGGCUCUACAACUCUAUCUGGGAUUGUGUGAACGAAGCAUUACGAGAGAGUGCAAUGAAAAAUAUGGCUAAGAGCAAUUUUUAAAUUGACUAUAUUUUAUUGUCAAAAUUAUUGAAUUUUAUAAACUGAGUCAAUUAUAGUAAUAUUAUAAAUAUUACAAUUCAACAUUACAUUACUAUAUUAAAUUAAAUGUGCUAAUGCAGCAUUAAUAGUAAUCUCAUUUAUAAAUCUAAAAUAUCUGGAUACAUCAAAAUAUUCUAUAAUAUUACAUAACUUGAACGAAAUGAAUCUUAAGUUCAAUAAAACAAAUUGAUUUGGUUGUUAGGGUCUGCAAUGUUGGAUUUGGGUGGAAUCCUCUUGCUAGUCUGGUUCAUUGCCCAUUAUAUUUCUGUUCUUUUAAAUUAAUAAAUAAUAAAUGAUUUUUAGUUCUUUAUGGAUGAUUAUUUUGCUAACUCCUACUAUAUAAAAAAAUUGUGAAAAUAUUUAUCUUACAUUAAUGAAAACCUUUGAUAGAUUUUUCACCACUUUCAUGUAAAAAAAAAAAAUGCAAAAUGAAUUAUUGUACUCUUUCACUUUAUUGAUGUGUUUUCAGGUGUUAGCUCAAAAUAUUGUAACGAACUAAAAUAGUAAGAUAUCUAUAACCUAUAAUAUGUAUCACUAUAAACUAUAUAUUAAUCCUCGAUUCCUUAUACACAUGGCAUAUCUAUAACUAUAGCUAUAUUUAUGUCUAUUUUGCUCGUUCAAGAGUAAGGGUAGUAAUUAAUCCAUUUGUGUUCGGUUCGAAAUAAGCUUGAGAUCGAAUCAUUUUUUUAAUAAACGAACUGAAUACAAGUUGAAUUUUUUAGCUCAUUUAAUAAACGAGUGAAACACGAGUUGAAUUUUUUGGCUCAAUGCUUUAAUGAGCCAGCUCGUGUGGAGCACAAACCAGCCUCAGCUCGCUCAUGUUCGACCCGAUGACAACCUUAUUCAAGAGAGCUCCCGGAAAGGGUUUAAAAUAAGCUAUGUUUGUAGCUCUUUCGAUCUAAAACACUAGUGUGAAAGUGUUCUAUGAACAUAGCAUGCUCUUAAUUUAUUCUAACAUCAUUCGGUCAACACAAGAAGGAACUUUGCAAUCUUAAAACUGUUAUAGUUAUCUUCUUCUGGAUCAAAAAAGGCCUACUUAUUUGACCAAAUGUGUUUGGUUCCUAACAUGCCAAGUGGGCUAUUAUGAAUCUAUGAUUGUAAAUUAUAAUCUAAUCGUAUUACUAAUAUUGUUUGAUAAUAAUGUCCAAUCAUGAUCAUUAUCAAUUAUUUAUUACACGAUAUAGCAGAGUAUUAUCGUUGCUUGCAAUUAUUAGGCUCGUGGAGGGCGAAUUUUGAACCAAAAGUUUAUAUUUCAGUCCCUAAUUUUUAAAAAAUUUUUAAGUUGCAUUAUCUCUUGCAGUCCCAAACAACUCUAAAAAUUCAUCACAACAACACUACACCACUCUUUCUAUUUAUAUAAUCUUUAGGAAGAUCACGCAGAAUCCUAUGCAAGUAGUCCACAAGUUUAAGCAGUUGAUAAAGGAGUGGGAUUAUAUUCUCACAGCUAAACUGACACUUUGAUUUUUUUUUUUUUUAUUUAUUUUUUUGUCAAACUUUCGAGGCUCAUCUCUGUAGCCUAGUUCAUUAUUCUAAUGAAUGAAGCGAUAGUGUACUACUUUUUCCUCAAAAAAAAUACUGAAUAAACAUAUGCAACUCAUUAUAUUGCAUGGGUACAUGAAUACAUGCAGAUACAAAUUUUUUUCGAAACAAUGUAAAAUGGGGAAUAGAUUUUGUUAACUAGAUUUUGUUAAAAAAAAAUGCAAGUAUUAUAACGCCAAUAUUUAAUUUUUAUGCAAUUAUUUAUUAAUAAGUGACCCUUCCAAAUAAUACGUGGAAUCUUACCAUUUAUUUGAUUUGAAUCAAUCAACGAUAUUUUAGUUUUAAAUUUUAAAUAUGUCGCAAUUAUAAAUUUAUUAAAAUAUCGUUGACCGUCUCAAAUUAUAUAAAUUAAAACAUUAAAUAAUUAAGGCUAAAUUACAGAAAAUUCUCUUGUAAUAACCCGUUUUUUCACUUUUCCUUCCUGACAUUUAAAAACCUACACUUUUUUCCCCUGUAAAAUAAAAAAUGUGCACUUCACCCCCUACCGUUAGGGUUCCGUUAAAAAAUAUAUUUUUAUGCCGAAAGUACCCCUCCGCCAUCUCCCUAUUGCUUCGCCUCCCUCCGGCUCGCCACCUCGCCGCCGCCUCGCCGUCUCUCAGCCUAACCGCCUCGCCAUUCCCACUGCCUCGCCCUCACCCACAUCUCCUUCGCCGUCCUCCGCCGCCUCGCCUUCGCCUUCUUUGUCUUUUUUCUACUGUCACCCACCUCGGUUUUCUCCUACUGUCGUCGAAAUCGAAAGGCGGCGAGGAUGCAGGAGGAGAAAGGGAGCAAGUGGAGAAGGAAAUGGAGAGAAAUCGCGGCCGAUUGAGGUGGGAAUCGCGGCCGAACGAGGGAGCGGCUGAGGAAGAUGGGAAAGAAGAUGACAAUGGCGAGAGGCAAAAUGGUCAUUUUAUAUACCGUAACCCUUCUGUGAAUAUUUUUCAUUUUAUAGAGGGGCAAAGUGUAGGUUUCUAAAUAUCAGGAAGGAAAAGUAAAAAAACGGAUUAUUACAGGAGAUUUUCUGUAAUUUAGCCAAUAAUUAAAUACAAAAUAAUUUAACGCUUCGCUAAGUUUUGUAAGUUUUUUUCUAUUUUCGAUUUUGCCACUCCGUGUUUCAUACGCAUAAAGAGGCCCCCAAACAAAAAGUAUACGGAAGAAACAAGGCACGCCCACUUCGCUUCCAUUGACACCCAAACUACUUCGGUGUAACGCUCUAAACAGUCUUAGAGAAUUUAUUCCCUGAACCCGGUGCAACCGUACACCCUGUGCACCGCAUAUCACACAGCGUUCAUUAAUUGCAUUAUUUUCCUCUCCUCCAAUAUUCGGAGGCUAAAGUGGACCUUUAUUUUUAAAUUUUAAUUUUUAUUAUAAUUUCUCGCUUAAAUUUUUAAGAUUAUUAUAAUUAGAUUUCAGAGUCUAAUAUAGUUGACUGAUUGAAUGACACUGCGACUAUAAAAUUCAGUUAAAAAAAUUAUACUACAAAACUUAAUUAUAAUAAUUAGAAAAAUGUAUAUCAAAAUUAUAAUAAAUGAAGAUAAAAAUAUACAGAAUUUAUCUGAACCAUUUUGAAUCGGCUACCUAUUCUUUCGAAUAUUUUGAUUUUACUAUUUAAUCUUUUGAUUUAUUUAAUUUAAGUCAGUCAAAAAUACUUUUCCUUCAAAAUUUAAGUUAACUAAUUUAAUAAAUUAAUAAUUACGAGAAUUAUAUAAAUUUAUAUCGAUUAAAUCUGUAAAAAUAAAUAACGUAUUUAAAUUUAAAAAACUAAAUAUGAAGUAAAUUAAAAUUUUAAAAUGAUUGAUAAAUUCAAAUAAAUUCCAUGGUUAUGUAGAGGGUAGAUGUGGUGGGGUACACCAAAUGUACGGAUAUCUCUGGUUCAGAGAAUAAUCAUCCCAAUCAUAGCCACGGUACUAACACGUGGACUCCACUUUCGCGGGGCCCACAUGUCAUACUCAAGGAUCCGUGGCAUAUCACCGUUACACCGAAUGAAAUGCGUCGUCUUCGUCGCCUCCUCUCACACUCCCCCGGUCUAUAUAAACCCGUCGACUCAUCCCCUCCUAUCUCUCUCUACUACCUCUCUAAUGGCGAUGGCGAUGGCGAUGGCGAAGGAGCCCUUGCUCCGACUCCGCGCCGCGGCGAACGAAGCCCUAGCCGAGUACGAGCCCGUCGCGCUCGUCCUCGCCCCUCUCCUCGCGCUCCUCCUCGCCCGCGCCCUCCACUCCGCCCUCGCCGUGCUCCACGAGAAGGGGAUCCAGGGCGCCGUGCUAGGGUUUCUCAUGAGCUCCGCGAAGUAACCUCUCUCUCUCUCCCUCUCUUUCUCAUUAGAUUGGGAUAAUUAAUGGCUAAUUUGGUGGUUAAUCCUCUUUUCGAUCGGUUGGAUCAGGUUGAUUCCCGGAGUGAGCGGCUACAUCGAAUCGGAGAAGAGGAAGGUUCGUGAUCACUCGAAUCUUUUUUAGUGAAUUCGAUUGUUGUGAUUAGAGAAAUCUAAGUUACUGUGCUGUGGACCUCGCGUGCAUGAGUAGGUUAUUUUGUUCAAGUUGGUAUUGAAUGGGAAGGGGAAUAAUAGUAGUUGUUUAAAACGAAUGGAAAUAGUAGAGUUAUCUAGGAUUCUAGAUCCCUCGAUCUUUGUGCCAAAUUGAGAGAAACCUCCUCCUCCUCCUCCUCUUCUUUUAAUUGGCCAUGGCUUUUAUAGUUUGUGUCAGAGUUUGAGAAUGUACUUUUGCCCAAACAAACCCUCAUUUAUGGUUCAGAGGUCCACAGAACCAAAAAGCAUUUUAGAAACUUCCUCCUACAAUGGUAAGAAAUGGUGAUGGGAACCACCACCAGAAAAGUGAAAAUUGUGGGCCAUGCAUUUUGUUGGUAGGUGAAGAGUGUUUUUUUGCUACUGUCCAAAGUGAGGGGUAAAAAAAAAAAAAGAGGAGCUUUUGAGCCCCAAAUUAAAAGCUCUAUUUGAAAAUUUCCCCUCUACUGCAACAGGAAACUAUUCAUUCUUUUUAAAUAGCAACUGUUAUACCGAAAUUACUAUGAUACAGCUACAUCAUAAUAUUUAGAAUGGAAUUUAGCGGAGCGAGUUCAUAGCAUCCGCUUUAGCUCGCUAAAAUGGGCGCUAUAAAACAGGGCCGAAAAGGACGCUAUGAGCUCAAAAGCUUGAAAAUUGCAAACAUGUCAAAAUGUCUUAUCCUGUCGGGCUUUAAAAUUAAAUAAAAUGAUCAAAAUCCUAUAAAUAGGUUAUAGAUUUUCUGUUUUUCUUUUGUCCUUUUGGUUUGCUAAAUCAUAAUAUUUUAAAAUUAUUCUUCUAGAUAAUGAGAUUAAAUAUGCCUUGCAGUACUAGAAAGAGGUAAUGUCUAGUUAUCUUUUCUUUAAAAUCAUAUGUACUUUCUAUAAGGAAUAUAGCAUAUUAAGUAAUUUUUUGUAAAAGCCGUUAUAGGUUCGUGGCACCCGAUAUGGCGCUUGCUAUCUACUUUCUAUUAUGAGAACCCCUAAAUGCUAUAUACCCACUAUCAGCUACUUACAACCUUAAAGCUAUUGGAGAACUUUAACAAAACUAUCGGUGUUACCAGGAACAACUUUACUCAAGAAGCAACUUUGUGGAAUCAUCAACAAUGCCAUUCAGACCAUUAAAACACAUGAUUUGUUUGUAUGCCAUGCAUGCAUGUUCAAUGUAUUACACAGACUUAACUGAAUUGAAACUAAUGGAUUUCUAUUGCUGGUUUUGUACUGUUUUUGUAGCUGUUUAGUAAGUUUAUUACUUAAACACUUUGCUCUAACUACUGUUCUUGGCAUCUUCUACUAGGUUGUUGACAAGUUGCAGUCAGGAAGCAAGUCUCAAAGAGAGAACUGGAGAACCGAGUUACCGAUUGUUGGGCUUAGUGAAGGAGCAAUUCAGGAACUUAAAGAAGCAAAAGCUAAAGAUGUGGUUUGGCAAGGCAAAUGCUCUGGUACAGUGUACGUCUGCUAUUAAAAAUUUAGAAGAUCAGCAGAUGCCGCAAAAUCACCCGAUCCGUUUCCAAUAAAUUAAAUGCUCAUCAAUCUUUUCAUGCUGCAGAUAUAUUGCUGGAAAUGAGUCUGAUGGCCAUUUUGCGCUGAUAAACGAGGCAUAUUCAAUGUAAGUUGAGACAACAUGGCGCAGUCUUAAUACUUUUCAGUCCAUCACUGUGUCCCUGAUUUAAAAUUGACCAACCUGACCUAGAUUGGGUUAUAUUCAGAUUAAAAUUAGUUUUGCAAGGAAACAAAUGUGAAUAUCUGUUGGACAAUGUCAGCUAUUCAUGUUGUAUUCGAUAUUAUUAUGGUAGUUAUCAUAUCGAUUAUCUUAAUUCAGGUUUUCACACACCAAUCCGCUACACCAGGAUGUGUUCCAGAGUGUGGCACGUUUUGAGGCGGAGGUGGUUGCGAUGACAGCUGCUCUUCUUGGCAGCAAGGAAAAGACAUCUGGAGGGCAAAUUUGUGGCAACAUGACAUCAGGAGGGACAGAAAGCAUACUAUUGGCUGUUAAAACAUCUCGUGACUAUAUGAGGUCGAAGAAGGGAAUUACUAAACCAGAAAUGUGAGUCAUAAGUGGUGUUGUUUCUAUGAAAUUUAGUCUUUGCAAUUUGAUCUGAACUUCAAUUUUGUCUUUAGAAUUUCAAUCGUAACAAUCUUGAAUCCCAUUUUGAUUUCACUCUCACUGUCAAUUCGACAAUUUGGUCCCUCAUGUUUAAUCACGAUUUCCAAUUUAGUCGUUAAGGUUUCUAUUUUAAAUAAGUGAAGUCUUACAAUGUUGGUUACAUGGUGCUUUUUGCAGCUAAUAUUCCUGUAGAAAGACUAUAUUGUUAUGCAUUACAAGCUUCAGGGGCUGAUUUGUUAUAAUGAAACUAUGAGGAUGAAAGUGAGACUAGGUCAAAAUUCAGGACUAAAUUUGUAAUUAACCCUGUUCAUAUUUGUCUUGCUCUCUUGCUAAUUGGCUAACUUAACAGGAUAAUACCUGAAUCAGCACAUUCUGCAUAUGACAAGGCUGCACAAUAUUACAACAUCAAGCUGUGGCGUGUACCCGUAAACAAGAACUUUGUUGCAGACGUUAAAGGAAUAAAGCAACGCAUCAACAGAAACACCAUACUGGUAUUUUACUCGUCCUCCACUCUUGUACCACACUCCGUAUGUUUCUGUUGAUCAGGAGUGUGGUUUAAUAUCAUUAUUGCACUAUUGAUCUAAGUAAACAAGAAUUAUGGUAUAGCUUACAGUAUCAGUUUCUCAUAAAAUGGAUUAAUGAUUAGAUUUUCAACACUAACGUGCUUUUCUUGUUCCAGAUUGUUGGUUCUGCACCCGGAUUUCCACAUGGCAUUAUCGAUCCCAUAGAAGUAUGUUGAAUUGUGGACAUCCUCCAAAAAAAUUUCGACUGCGUCACGGUAUUUGUUUGUGGAGUUUUUGCCUCCUUUGUUACUUACUCGAUAGUAUGAUUUUUGCAACUUAGGAGCUUGGAGAACUGGCGUCAUCUUAUGGUAUUUGCCUGCAUGUUGAUCUUUGCCUUGGUGGCUUCGUUUUGCCAUUUGCUCGUAAGCUUGGGUAUUUAUUCUUAGCGGGAUAAUCCAUUGCAUUCGGUUACACUCAACAUCUUAUGUUUUUAUGUUCUACUCCACUUUUAUCAUUGUUGCACUUUAAUAAUAGUUGGAACCAAAUAGAAAAUAAUAAACACAUUGUAUAUGAGAUCUCAAGUGGGUUUCGUCUUCAUCUUCAAAUAAAGAGUUAAUCUGAGAGUUUCCUAGCAUGCCGGCGUGUACAUGACAUGUUUAGAAUGCUAAAUUGGUCUCAUCUUAGAACCUAGAUUAAAUGCUAACCGCAUUCUGAAUUUUCAAGUGUGGAAGUGAAGAUCAGAGCUCGAAUCAUGAGGCCACAAAAGCAAAAAUUUACUUGGGUAUAUUGAUGUCAAGUAUACCUCAUGUAACAAACCAUAACUUCUACUUAUAUUGUGAGAGGCAAUUCAUUAAGUAGUGGAUGCAAUAGUAGAUGACCUUUUAGUGUUUUGUUGACAUUUUGGUAAUGGUAUUUGUAUGCAUAUAAUGAAACAUUGUGAUCUAUUCAUUAUUCAGCGCUUUAAUUUAGUUUCAAAUUUGAAGAAGUGGAGAAGGGACAUGAAUUCAGGUUUUUGACUAGUACUAUUGAGGAAAACACAUGGCAUGUUACAGCAGAAAUGAAAGUUGACACAGCAUCAAUGGAAAAAAAAAAAAAAAAACUUGAAGAGGAAAGAGCAUUAUUUACAAGAAAGAACAGACAAAACAGUGCUGGUUGCUGAUGAGUGAACUCCAUAGCUUUAGAUUUUUAAGAACCACUUGAAUUGUUAGUUGCACUGCCAAUGUAAUGUACUCUGCACUACACACUUCAUUCUUUUCUUAUGAAGAUAUGAUGACACAUAGUGAUCUAAUUUUCGUACUAGUAGUCUAGGUCCAUUUCCAGAAUGAUUCCUAUCGGCAACAUGUGCUGUCAUAUAGAUGCUUUAAGAUAACCAGUAGUAGUUUAUUGCAUCAUUCCGUAAGUUUUGCAUUUUUACCUUCUAAUUUAUGUUUUCCCGCAAAGGCCAUACGACUGUAGUUUUAAACAGUUUGUAUUAUGCAGGUAUCCACUUCCACCUUUCGAUUUCUCUGUGAAAGGAGUUACAUCCAUUUCAACAGAUGUCCAUAAGUAUGGAUUAGCUCCUAAGGGCACGAGUAUAGUUCUUUACAGAAAUCAUGAAAUUAGAAAGGUAAAAUAUCUAUCUGCUUACGCUGAGCUAUAAAUCUCUUCCGUAGUUCGAAGGAAACAUACUGAAUUUUUUGAGGGCAUCUAAAAACUAUUUCAGAAAUUCUUUAGAUGUAGAUUAUUGAAGAUUGAAGAACUCUAUGACUUCAUUAUCGAUGGGUACUAAUUCAUUAUUCAUUUUGUUUGCUUUGCACUAUCGACUAUUGGUGAUAUCUUCAACAGCAUCAAUUUGUUGCCGGUAAGUAAUUGUCCUUUACAUGAUUUUUGAAGAAUUAUUGUUAUUAUUAUUUUUCCUUCUGUUCUGAAGCAUGCUACUUUCUGAAGGUUUUCAGUUUCAUCCAAAUUGAAAAUUGGUUGCUAGUUGGACUCAUUCGCAAAUUAGCUGAUCAAUCACUCUAUUUUCUUAAUUAGGUUAGGUAGCCUAAAAUCAAGAGAUAGUAUAGUUGGACUCAUUCACAAAUUAUCUGAUCAAUCAGUCUAUUUUCUUAAUUAGGUUAGGUAGGCUAAAAUCAACAGAUAUGAACUUUUUUAAGGCAACAGAAAGGAUGAAAACUGAAUAAAAUAAAUGCUAAGUUAUGACCUGAUGAUGAUACUCUUAUCUAGGAAAUAUUUCUUCCUUGUGGUUGACUAAUACAAAAAAACAACAACUUUGAUUGGUGUAAGGUGGUUUUUUUUUUAUUGAAAUUUUGUUUUUAUAAAAUAAAUAUCUAAUGCAACUCCUUUCUUUUUCAUUCAUGGCCUUAUCUCCUUGUUACAGUAACUGAGUGGUCAGGCGGGCUGUACGUUUCCCCUACGAUGGCAGGAAGCCGGCCUGGUGGAUUAAUCGCCGGGGCUUGGGCCGCUAUGAUGUCACUAGGCCUGAACGGUAAACAAUAACUUGUUUUUCUUUUUUUCCUUUAUUUCCAACUGAACUUGAUUAAUACAAAGUUUCACUACAAUGCUUAAAACAAAAGUUGCACCUCCCCUGUUAUCUUAUUAUUAGGAUACUUGGAAAAUACGAGACAGAUAAUGGAAGUAGCGAAGAAGAUACAGAAAGGGUAAAUUGCGACAAAAAGUUUCACUUCAUUUUCAUUUGUGAAUGAAAAACUCAAGAUGUUCUUAACAUCAGAGACCUGUCCACAGGAUAGAGGAGAUUCCACAGUUGUUUAUCGUUGGAAAACCGCACAUGACUGUGAUAGCUUUCGGCUCGAAUGUCCUCGACAUCUUUGAGGUGAACGAUAUAAUGUCGUCGAAAGGGUGGCACCUGAGUGCUUUGCAGAGACCUAACAGGUAAACCCUAGUUUUUACUACCUAUUGUUUAAUCUCGUGCGAUGCAUGACAAAGAAAAGCUAAAAAGCAAUUUCAUUUAAAAAAAUAUCUUCUUUCCCCCCACACCCCCCCCAACAUAAAAAACCUUUUCUUUUCUUCUUUUUUUUUUUUUUCUGUUUUGGAAACAUGAUACUGCUUUCAAUUUUGCAACUUAAGAUCAAUUUUCAACUUUUAGGCCAAAUUGUCCCUACGCUGUGGGGCGGAGAUGCACAAUUUCAAAUGUGCGCAGUGAUAAAAACAAUUCAUUGACGAAUGUUUUUCGAGAUUAAAUGAUAGUUUUUGUGUGCGCGCGCGCGCGCAAUAAGGUCUAUAAAGGACUAUUGGAAAACUUUAUGUAUCUAUAGAAAAUUAUAAUGCACGGUAUAAAGGAUAAAUCAAAGUAGAAUGCUACGGAGACCAUGAUUGUAGCGAACUAGAGAUUGAGAUGAAUUAAAUAAACCGAGAAUAUCGUCCGUGCACUCUGCUAAUGUUUGAUCUUUAUUGGACUACCUAAAUUUUUAUAUUUAUUCUACAUUAAUGUUAAAUUGUUUAUAACAUCUAACAAAUCACUUCUUCGCUCAGCCUUCAUAUUUGCGUGACCCUUCAACACGUUACUGUUUUCGAAGACUUCCUCAACGAUCUAAAAGAUUCUGUUAAAAUUGUAAGCGCUCUCUCUCUCUCUCUCUCUCUCUCUCUCUCUCUCUCUCGUUUUUUUUUUGUUUAAUUAUUUUCUGCAAUCCUCUUUACAUUUAUUUUGCCUCCCCUUUACUUAAUUCUCUGCGCUGUUCUAUGGCUUCUCUUUUAGGUAAAAGAGAACCCCGGCCCGAUAGACGGAGGGAUGGCUCCGAUCUACGGUGCGGCAGGGAAGAUGCCGGACCGAGGAAUGGUGCGGGAUUUGUUGGUGGAAUUCAUGGAUGGCACUUGCUAGGUGAGCUAUUGAGCUCUACACAAACAUCAUACAACACCAUCUUUUAUUCUUCAUCUCUAUUUCUGUUAACCACAUUUACAAUAAAAACAUGUGCUGAAUAUCUCCAAGUGAUUUCUAUUUAUUCACUCCCUGUGUUAGCAUAUAACCGAAUGGGUAUAAAAUUGUAACAUGUUGUACAUGUUAAUCUGUGUAUUUUCAUUUCUACUCCUGUUGCCACAUUUACAAUAAACAUAUGCUGAAUAGCUUUUAGUGAUUUCUAUUUGUUUACUCCCGUGUUAGCAUAUAGUCAAAUGGGCAUAGAUUGUAACGUGUCGUACAUGAUGAUCUGUGUAUCUGCGCUGCUUGACUUGUUUAUACAAUGGUAAAUGCAAUUUCAUAUCCGUGCUGAUGAAUCCCAUUGAGUGGUUUUAUGUCCUUGGAUGUUUCUGUGUUGAAAUUUAAUGCUAAACUUAAUUCUCUGUUCGUAUGGUAAUGCAAUUUCAUAUCUGUGCUGUUGUGUGUCCUUGAAUGUUUCAGUGUUGAAACUUACGACUAAACUUAAUUCUCUAUUCGAAUGUUACCUUACAAUCCCCAUAAGCUUUUGGAUUGUACUUCUAGAAUCGGGAUCCAAUAACCACUACUGGAUGUGAGUAGGGAUGCAAACGGAUCUGGAUUGGUGGAGCUCACACGCCAAUCCGCCCCGAAUUGGGCAGUAAACGAGAGAAAAUAAACUGAAACAAGAAUAAUUUUAUGAUCCGAGAUGAAUUUGGGAAGAAAUUUUGACCCGUCCCGAAUCCGUCCCGAAAACUAUUUAUAUUUUAAAAAAAUAUUCCUAAAAAAUAAUAUAUUUACAAACAAGGUUUAAAAUACAAAUAAUUUAUUGCUUUCAUUUUUCAUGUAUUUAAAAUUUUUGAAUUUUAUUUUGAAUUGUGAUUAACAUUUUUAAUUUUUAUAAUUGAUAUUAUUAAUUAUAUAUAUAAUAUUAUUAAAAAUUAUUAUUUUAUAUUUUAUAAAAUAUUAAUAAUAUUAUAAUUUUAUAAAAAAUAUUAGUUCGUGGGGCAGAUUCGGAAACCGGCGGGAGGCAGGUUACGAGGCGGGGCGGAUUAUGGAAUAUAACUUUUAAUCCGUCACGAAUUCGAGACGGGAGGUGGGGCGGAAGGCGGGACAGGGCUCUUACCCCCAGAUCCGUCCCGUUUUGUAUCCCUAGAUGUGAGUUGAAUUGGUCGUUCGAUGGAGCCACAGAAGUUUAAGCAAUUGGAUUAUUCUACGAGGAUCCAUGCCCAACAAUCUGGGUAAUAGGAAAGUCGGACUGUUUGGGCUUGUUCGGCUUCGAUAAAGGCUUUUUUAAAAGUGUUAUUUGAUUAAAACUAUUUUAAAAAGUAUAGAGUAUAUUUUCAUUAGAAUUAUCUAACGGCUUCAUAUUACUGCAGUAAGUGGUGUCAAUAUCUUAUUUACCGUGGGGUACAUUAAAAUUACCAAUUUUUGAGCUAUACGAAUAUUAGACAAAUAGUGUUGAAAAUUAUAAAAUUUAAUUUUUAAAAAUUUUAAAUAAUCUAAUUCAUGUUAUGGUAUUGUACUCCGAUUUGGAUAUUUUAAAUAACACGGGAAUAAACAGCUCUGCUCUUUUUUCCAUUGUUGCUUAACUCAAUAUAUUAGUACGUGUAAGUCUAAGGAAAAUUUUUUUUUCUUAUGGUAAACUUGAAUUUGCCCCCUUAUAAUGAGCGUCUCUUCACUUUACCAAUCUUUAGUUUAAAAAUGUUGCACUUAAUUAUUCUAUAAUAUAGUAUAUUUUUACAUUUUUAUUUUCUAAUUUAAAAGAUAUACUUAACUAUCUUAUAAUUUUAUUAUUUUUAUUUUACUAUAAAAAUCUACUACCAAAUAGGAUACUAUUCUAUACUUUUUUAAAAAAAUUAUUUUAUUAUUCUAUUUGAGAUUGAUUUUUUUCGUUGAAACAAAAGUAAAAUUAUAAAAUAAUUAAAUGUUAUUUUUUAAAUUAUGGAAUAUCAAAAUAUAAAUAAGCUAUGCCACGGAGUAAAGAUUUGGCCUUUCUCUUAUUAAGGCUUAGUUUGAUAUUGAUAUCUAUCUAACGCUAUUAGAUAAAAUAAAAUGAAGUUGAGAAAAAAAAAAGUAGGAAUAUAUUUCUGUAUUCUCCGAUAGGACCGUAGAAAAUAUAUCAUAACCAACUCAUCGUGAUAUAUGAAAAAUAAUAUUAUGUACGGAAACAAACAGAAUAUUUUUCUAACGUACUUUCUCACCGCACGUAACAUAAUCUCCCCGCAAUCCCAAACAAAGGCUAAACCCUGUUCAUCCUUUUCUUCAAGAGUAUCCAAUUACCCAACAACGACGACCCCAACCCCGAGUCAGGUUUAAACUUUAAACCCCAUGCUGAUGCGGUGGACCACUGUUUAGUGUUCACCCUGUCUCUCUCUGCCACUAUUCAGCGCUGUGGCCACUUUCUCUCUCUACCCGUGAGUGUUUUUUUUUUUUUUUUUUUUUUUUUUUUUUUUUUUUUUAGUGAACUUCGAAUAUUACUUCUAUAAUUUCGUAAUUUCUCACUUUAAUACUAUAUGAUUUAAAGUAUAUUAAGUUAGUAUUAUGUAAUUUUAUUUUUAUCUUUUCGUCAGCUUUUUCGUUAAUAUUUUAUUAAAUUAUAUACAAAAAAAUUUCAGAUACCGUACAUAGGUUUAUCGAAUAUUCACUUUAGUAUUCUUUAGCCUUAAUUUUGUCACUGAUUUAACGAAAAAUAUUAAUAAAAUUGAUAAUAAAAAAAUAAAAAUGAAACCAUAUAUCAUUAAAUUGAUACAUUUUAAACCACAGGUACUAAAGUGAUAAAGUGCGAAAGCACAAGGUGGUAUUUGAAGUUUUUUUUUUUUUUUUAAGCUAAAUUACACCUUUGGUCCUCAAACUAUGAGGUAUAGUUUUAGUUUCCAAAUUUUAGUUUGUCGCAAUUUUUAUCUCAAAUUAUAAUUUAAUUUAAUUUGCUAAAUUUUGAUAAAUAAUUGAUAUACAAUAAUAAUAAUAUUUUAUUAUUAUUAUUAUAUCAUCAAUCACAACAUUUUAUAUCACUUUAACAUUAAUAAUUUGACAAUAUUUAAUCAAUAAUAUAAAAUUAAAUUGUGUAACUUGAUUGCUAAAAACCAAGGGACUUGAGCUAGAAACUAAAGAUCAAUUCGGAUUGGCUCUUGUUCGUUUAGAAAAUGCGGUUAGAGGAACUAUAUGUGGAGCAAUCAGGCAUAAAUUGAUACCGACUCCUCAAAAUUUGGUAACUUCAACUUCAUUAACAACUACUUAUGAAUCGUUUUUUGGCCCACACAUUGUAUCUCAAGUUUUGGAUCGAAAAAAUCCAUCGACACAAAUCGUUCACCCUUUAUCUGAAGUUUUGGAUCGAACAAAUCCAUCGACACAAAUCGUUCACCCUUUUUCUCAAAUUUUAGAUCGAACUAAUCUAUCGGCACAAAUCAUUUAUGAAUGGAAAUUGAGUUAGAACUAAAAUUUGAGAAUCACAAUAUAGCGAGUUAAUUUCAUACAGGUUCCUGUAAACAUAAUAAAUGAUAAAUAUAUCCCUACAAAGUUCAACUUUCAUAUGUUGUCCCUAUAAAAAUUUUAAUAUUUUCAAAAAUAUCCAUCUGGUUUAUUACCGUUAAAGAACCGUUAGAAAACCGUUUAUAUUUUCAAUUUUACCAUCACAAAUAUAUCUCUCCAAAAAUCAUAACAAUAUAAUAUAAGAGGGAUAAAAAUGUCAAAAAUUAAUCAGAAUAAAGUAUUCAAUCUAUGGUUAACUAAAAUUUUCCAACGAAUUUUAACGGAAGGGACAUAUUUGAAGACGUCAAGAAAGUUGAAGUAGGAAUAUAUUUAACAUUCAUCAUAUUUGUAGGGACUUGUAUGAAAUUAAUCCUAAUAUAACGGAUUGCAUACAUAAAAAAAACCAAAAAUGUAAUAUAUUUAUUUAUUGGCGGGACCUCUCAUUAUUAGAGAUGUCAACGGGUCGGAUUCGGAGCGAAGUUUCAAAAAUCUGAACCCGAACCCGACUCCAAACCCAAGACUCGGACCCGAACCCGAACUCAAACUCGACGGAUUUUAAAAAUCCAUAUCCAAAACCGAACCUGACCAAAAAUCCGAAACCCGAAUCCGAACCCGAACCCGAAAAUUUGAACCCGAAAUAAUUAAAUUUUUUUUUCAAUAUUUCAAAAUAUAUUAUAUUAAACCUAAAUUUUUAAAAUAAAAAUUCAAAUAUAACAUCGAAUAUAUANAGUCAAAAUUCAUAUUCGAAUCCAUAUCCUUCGGGUUUCUAUUUUUAAUAUUCAUAUCCGAAUCCAUAUUCAUUUAACAUCGAAUAUAUUCAUUUCAUUCGGAUUCGAGUUCGGAUAAAAUUUUGAGUAUCCAUACUCCCUCCCUACUCACUAUGCCCUCCCUCCAAUUGGCGGGACCUGUUACCAAGCCCUCCCUCCAAAUUCAUGGGUUGGAUGAGGAGAGCAGUAGCCACUAGACAAGAAGAUAAGAAUAAGCGAAGGGGACCUCUCGUUUUCUGCUUUUCCUCUUUUUUUUGGAAAAACAUUUUUUUUGUAUGGCGCUUUUGGAGAGAAAAAGACCUGUAGGGGCGGGGGUGCGGGGGAGCGUUGUUACGUCCCAAUCUGAUAGGAUGCGUUGGAUCGUUAUCCGGAACAGAUUCAGGUAGGCACGUGACAACACCCGCCACAUAUACGGCACAAAACCAAUUAACCAAGCAAUAAAUACCAAAUUUUCUGCUGUAUAUGUACGGGAGAAAUAUUAUUAUGAGCAUUUAUUUGUUUGCUCAGCGAAUCCGUUCAAAAUGCUAAACUGCAUUUUGAACCAUCAUGACAGUACAUUUAUAUAUACGGAAAAAUUUCAUCACUAUCCUCCCAAAUAAGUCUAAUAUCAUGAAUACCUCUAUAAAAAUGAAAAUAUCAUAAAUAACAUUUUUUUUAAAAAAAACUUUCGAAAAUAAUUUUUACACUAAUUUAUUAUCAAUUUUGAAUAAACAACAAAUAAAAUUUCAACUUUGCCCUUAUUGUCAUUACCAUCUUAAAAUAUUUAACUGACUAUAAAAUUAUUUAUACGUUUAUAAAUACUCUUUUAAAUUUAUAAAUAACCUACAUUUAGAGAUAAUUUUUUUAUCAAUUAAAAAAAUAUAUAUAAUCCUGACAUGUUGAGCUAAAAAAUAAAAAAAAAUUAAUUAAAAAAAAUUUAGCAAAAAAUUAUUUAAAGUAUCAAUUGACUCCUUAAAAUAAAGUUAAACAAUUUAUUCAAAAUAUAACUUAAAUAUAUAUAUAUAUGCAUGAUGUGAAUUAAGUUAUUUGAAUUAGCACAAAUUUCUGUGCUUUGGUAUCUCGAAUUUUAAAAUAAAUGAUAUAAAGUAUUUUAUUUUAGUAUCUUAUUUUAUAAACCACACAGCAGUAAAAUAAUAUAUUUUACUGUUUAUUUUAAUAUUUUAAAAUAAAUAUAUCAUGCUAAAAUACUUUUGUAAAAAAUUUUAGAAGUUAAGGAUAAAAUGGACAUUUCGACCAUAUUUAUGAUAAUCUAAAUAUUUUAUCAUUCUAUAAAGACAUGAAUAGUAAGGUUAAGGGUAUAUUUGAAAUAUAAUAAGUAUUUGUAGGGAUAAUUAUGAUAUAAUCAAAUUUAUAGGGACAUCUGUGAUAUUUUUAAAGUUUAGAGGGGCACAAAUGAAAUUGACCCUAUAUAUGAACUACAAAUAUUUUAGAAAAAAUUUGUAACACCACACAGUCAGUUCCACACUUUUUUCUUUUUUUUUUUUUUUACGUACUAUAUAAUUUAAAGUGUAUUAAUUUAGUAUCUCGUAAUUUUAUUUUUUUAUUGUUCCCUCUACUAAUUUCUUUUCAUUACGUCUGUGAUAAAGUUAAAAUUAAAAAGUACUAAAUUGAAUAUUCAAUAAACUUAGAUGAAAUAUCUGAAGCUUGUUGUAUAUAAUUUAACGGAAUAUUAACGAAAAAGCCAACAAAACAGAGGACAACAAAACCACAGGGUAAUAAAGUGAGGAAGAACGAAACUACAGAGGUGAUAAUUUGAAAUUUAUCCUAAACUUAUAUAUUCAUUUAAAGAUAAUUAUUUUUUUUACUAAUCUUAUCAAUUUUAAAAACAUUAAAAAUAAUUAAAAAUUAUAAAUUUUAGAAUAAGUGACUUUACACAUCUAAAUAUACAAAUAGCAUUUUUCUUACAUUUUUUUGCCCUAAAUCUUAGAGGCCUAUAUAGCUCUUUAGCGGAGUUUAAUUUUUUAUAAUCUUUGAUUCAAAUUAUUUAAUUCGUUAUCAUUAAAUCUCGUAAUUUAAUUAAGUUGAUACAAUUGUAUUAUAAUUAUAAUAAUCACUAAAAUAUCACAUCAUUAUUAUAUUAGUAUAAUACUAUUAGCUGAUUACCUAAAUUGAAUUGUAAAACAUAAUUAUUAUAUUUUAAAAAAAUUGAGCAAAAAAUUAAAAUAAAUUAUAGUUUGAGAGUAAAAAUAUCACUCGCUACAAAAUUCGACGGUCAAAAGUAUAGUUAUAAUCAAAAUAUUAUUACCUAUACAGAUUACGAUUCAAAAGGCUUGGUAAUAUACAUACGUAAUCUAUAGAAUAUAUAAGACUUUAUUUAUCGAAUAUGAAAUUAUGAAUUGGAGCGGUCCAAUUUUUCUACAGCUUCGUUGGAUGUUCGUACACUAUAACACAUGGGAUUAAUUUAUAGUUUCAAGUUCGAGACAUCUAUUUCUUUCAAAAUACAAAACAAUGUUUUUAAAAAUAAUAUCUAAUAUAUCCUUCAAAAUUUAAGAAUCAUCUAAUAUAUUUCGAUUUAUAGAAACUACUUCAAAUACAAUUCUAACUAAUGAAAUUUAAAGUUUAGAAAGGUAUUUUGAAAAUAAAAAAAUUAAAAGUAGAUAUAGAGGUCUCCUUGCAAAUUAAGAGGCUGUUAGGACCAAACCUGACUAGGUUAGUAUCUCAAUUUGGUCAAACCAAGUUAGACGUGAUUUAAUUAGUUAAUUUUAGUCUAAUUUAAUAAUACUGCGACUAAGUGCGCUGCUUUAGAAUUUCGAAAGGCUGUAAAAAAAUUUAGGACGACUUUUCCGUCCAUAUGGAAAACAAGCUAUCUACCUUCUACACCAAAAUACUGCUAAGAUUCUAAUAGAGUACAAAAUCAUAUUGACCAUCAUACUACAUGUGGUAAGGAUUUGAUCAUUGAUAUUCAAAAUUUAAAAUUUGAAACCUAAUUAUUAUUAUUUUAUAUAUAUAUAUAUAUAUAUAUAUAUAUAUAGAAUUAGGCUGGAAUACUAUUAAUAGUAAAAUACUCUUUUUGCUAUCAAGUUUUUAACUCUUGGAUGAAAAAUUGUAGGGUCAGGAUGAUAUUAGUCGGUUAGAGUUGAAUGGUCUCCUUAGGGUUGAGUGGUCCCCACUGGGUUAUAUUAUUUAAUCCAAUGGUUAGAAAUAAUAAAAAGAGUUGAUCCAAAGGCUAAAAAACUGGUAGCAACAAUGAGAUUUUGCUACUAAUAGUAGCCCAGUCCAACUCUCUCUCUCUCUCUAUAUAUAUAUAUGUAGCUAGACUGGAAUACUAUUAAUAGCACCAAAUUAUUGGUGCUAUUAGUUUUUUAGUAUUUGGAUUAAAAAUAUGCAGUUAGGAUGGUGUGGGUCUCACAGGGUUGAGUGGAUGGUUGGUUGAAUAAUAUAAUUUAACGGGUAAAAAUAAUCAAAGGGUUAACGGUGAAAAAUUCGAUAACAUUAUGCCCUUGAUGCUAUCGAUAGUAUCCCAGCCGUACUCUAUAUAUAUAUAGAGAGAGAGAGAAUUGAGCUUCUAUGUUUUUAAAAGUACCAAAUUAUUAAUAUUUGUAGGUUUUUGGUCAUUGGAUUAAGGGAUGUGCGGUUAUGAUGAUAUAGGCCCCCUAGCAUUGAGUGAGUGAUUGGUUGAAUAGUAUAAUAUAACGGUAAAAAAUUUGUAACAUUAAGUAUUUGGUACUUUUACAAGCACCAUAGCUGAACUCUCUCUAUCUCUCUCUCUAUAUAUAAUAUAUAAAGUAAGCUACUAGAGAUUUUUGUAUUUAUAAAUUAUUUUCGAUAAUAGAGCAUUCGAAUCAACGAUCUAUACCGCUAAAUAUAAUUUACAGGAGCUUUUAGAAAACAAAAUUUGUAAUUUUUUUAAACUAUAAUAAAACUUAUUAAGCGGAUGUAAAAUAAACGGCCAAAAUCAAACAACAUAUUGAAAAAAAAAUUUAAAACUUUCAAAUUAAGAUGCAAGUUAUUAAUCUUUAUCUAAAUAGAUAAUAAAAUUUUUUAUCAAAAAUUCAAUUAAUUUAAUUCUUUUACACAGUUGAACUAGCAAGAAUUUAUAUUGAAUAUUAAAAUUUAUCAAUUAUAAUAAUUUUUAGUCAUAAGCUUUUAAAAUAAUAUCGAAAAAUUAAAAAAUUAAUUUUUUAAAUUUUAAAAUAAUAAAAUAUAUUUAAUCGAAAAAUUUUUUUAUUAAAAAUAAUUUAAAAGUAUAGAGGCAAUUGCACAGAUAAUACUGGUACUAAUGUAUCGGGGAUUUUUGUCAUGUCAAUAAAAUUUUCAAAAAAAUUUACACUCCCUGCGUAUAUUGUCCCGCUUUUUUUAAACCCAAAAAGGGUUCGCGGCUAAUCCGAGAGCGCACCAAUUCCCGGUUCGAAACCUAACCCCGCAGUACGACUGCCCGUAUAGAAACUAUCUAUACGAUAGGAUCUCGACCGUUGGGCAAGUAAGGUGAUCGAUCUAGUUCGUGCGGCGCGCAUAGAAUUUCUAUGCGGGGGGGGUUGCGGGGGUUAACGAUUUCUUUUGUUAGGUGGCCGACCGUACGGUCUCGACCGGCGCUAUGCGGUCACCGUGCGCGCGGGCCGAGGAAAGCAGUCGUUGGCCUUUCUCUCUCUUUAAUAAGCGAGUUAUAAUGUCAGGAUCGUCCCUCCACUAUCUGAAUAUUGCAAUUUAGUCCUCCAUUGCCACUUCAUAAUUUUAAAAAGUUUAUCCAUUUAACUAUUUUAUAAUUUAUUUUUAUUUUACCCAAAAAAAUAUACCAUCAGAUCAGAUAGAAAAUUAAACAUUUUUUCAUAAACAAUAUAAUAUUAUUCUAUCCACCAGCAGAUUCUUAAACUGAAACAAUAAUAAUUUAAAUUGCAAAAAGAUAAAAUAAAAAUAUGCUAAAUCACAACGUAGCCAAGUGCAACUUCUAACAAUGGGGAAUGACAGAAUAAAAAUAUAUUAUACCACUACAGGCCAAAUUGAAGUUUACACUUACACUUAUUUUUGUUGUAUAUUUGGACUGCAAUCUAGGGAUGUCAAUGACCGGAACAGGAGCGAGCUGAAACCAACUCGUGUUCGGCUCGUUUAAUAAAUGAGCCGAACACGAGCUAACUCGUUAAAGUAUCGAGUCAAAAAAUACAAUUUGUGUUCGGCUCGUUAAUAAACGAGCGGAACACGAGCUGGCCAACUAACAAUAAAUUAAAAAAAUUAAAUUAUAUAUAUAUAUAUAUAUAUAUAUAUAGUUUGACUGGGCUACUAUCGGUAGUAAACUGCUAGGUUUACUACCGAUUUGUUUUUUAUGAUAGAGCUUCCAAAUUGACGAUCGGCACCGUUGAACAUGAUCUAGACCAUUUAAAUUAUCUAGAAAUCAAAUUUCAUGAUUUUUUGGCAUCACUAACUGAAUGAUCAAAGGGUCACAAAAUCUAUAAUUUUAAUGGUCGAUAUGGUCCGUUUGCUCGUUUAACGGUAUAGAAGAGUGUUCAAAUCAACUAAAUUUUUAUUAAAAAAUUCUUUGAACUAUUUAAAAUAAGAUCUAGACUCUAGAUCUCAAAUAUAAAAAUUGUAUCAUCACUUUUUGAAGGAUAUUCAUUUACAGCCAUUCAUUUUUCUGUUCACUUGAUGGACAAGAGAACAAUAUCGAAAAUGUGUGAAAUUUGAUUUCUAGAUAGUUUAAAUAGUUUAGAUCAUGUUUAACGGUGCCGAUCAUUAAUUUGGAAGCUCUAUCAUCGAAAACAAAUCGGUAGUAAACGGCUCGAUUUACUACCGAUAGUAUUCUAGCAAAAUUCUCUCUCUUUAUAUAUAUAUAAUAAAUUUAUAAAAUUUUACACAUUAGAUUUUGAUCUAAUGGUUAAAACUUUACAUAUAAAUAAAUUUUUUUAAAUUGACCUCGACUUUACAUUUUUAUUUUGCUAAAAAUUAAAUAAUAAAAAUAUAUAUUAUAUAUAAUUAUUUAUUUUUGUAUAUAAAUAUAAAUUAUAUAAAUAUAAAAUAUGCGUAUUCGAGCUGUUAUCGAGCCGAACACGAGCGAGCUGGCCUCAGCUCCUGUUCGACUCAUUUACUAAACGAGUAAUUCGAUCUCGAGUUCAUUUCGAACCAAACACGAGGUUGCAAACAGCAAACUGGAUUGCCACCUCUACUACAAUUCAACUUUUUUCUAAUUUUCAUUCACAUGUUAAAUUUAACUUUAACUCAUGCUAUUUAAUAGCUUUUUGAAUACAAAUUUAUGAUAUACAAUUUACUUUAACAAAAAUAUAAUUCUUAUAUAAAUUGUAUAAUAUAGUUUAAUUAUAACUGUUAAAAUAGAUAAAUCUAAAUGUUGAAAUAUAUACGUGAUCUCCUAGUAAAACUAACUAUUUAAAUGUUGAAAUAUAUACACAUGAUCUCCUAGUAAAAUUAAAUAUAUUUUAAUAAUAAAAUAGUAGAUUCAGAAUUUAAAAUAAUUCAUAAUUUAGAUAGAUUUAAUAUAUUUUUAUAGUUUUAUUUUAUAUAUAUUCAGUAUAAUAAAUUACUAAUCUUUUUAUUUUGAGACUUAAAAAAUGGUACACAUGCGAAGUGUUUAAUGACGGACGUACAGGGACCACGUUUCAAAUUCAGGAUGGGUGGGGGACGAUCGAUACAUUUUCCCCCUUUUAAGAGCAUCGACACCUCCUCCUCUCCCCUCUCUCUGUACUCUCUCUCUCUCUCUCUCUCUCUCUCCACACCGAUCCCUUUACUGCGAGAUAAACCCUAAUCUCUGUCCUCUUUCACUUUCUCUCUCUAAAGCGAUUUCGAGGUGAGGUGAAGAAGCAUCAAACAAAGAGUAGCAGCAUAAUAAGGUGGAAGACGAAGCAAAAGCAUAUAUAGAGAGAGAAAGAGGCAUGAAGAACCUUUACCCGAAGGGGAAGGGACGGAUCCAUCCAUCUCCGUCGUCGUCGUCGUCGUCGUCGUCCUCCUCCGCCGGGGCCGCGGCGGACGCCAUGGCGGUGCUCCGGCUCCUCCCCGCGGCGAUCGUCGCCCUCACCGCGGCGCUCGGGGACGACGACAAGGAGGUGCUUGCGUACCUCAUCACCUGGUCCAUGAACGGCCCCGCGCCGCCGCCCUCCGCCGCGGCGUCGCCGGCGGAGCGGCGGCUCUUCCGCACGCCCGCCGCUGCGGCGGCGGCGCAGCAGCAGCAGCAGCAGCACCGGGCGCUCUUCAGCUGCGGGUGCUUCGACUGCUACCGCAGCUUCUGGAGCCGGUGGGACUGCUCCCCCGAUCGCGAGCUCAUCCACCAGGCGAUCGACGCGUACGAGGACCACGUCGCCGCCGCGCAAUCGGAGCUCCACGCCGGCGGCUGCGGCGGCGGAGCGAGGGCGACGCGGCGGCGGGAGCGGCGAUCGUCGGAGAAGAGAGAGAAAGCUAAAGCGAAGAGGGGGAUCAUGAGCAGCGAAACGAGGAGCGUUUGCGACGAUGGAGAGGCGGUUAUAAAGGAGGCGGAGGGGGAGGGGGAAGAGGCGGUUGCGGUGGCCGUUGAGGAGGGGGAGAAGCUUCUAGAAGCGGGGGAGGAGAAGCUUCUAGAAGAGGCUAGUAGGGAGAGCGAGGAUACUAGAGAAGGUGCGAAGGAGGCGGUGGCGGUGGAGGUGGAGGUGGAGGUGGAGGUGGAGAGGCGGAGGGGGUGGGCGGACGUGACGGGAUUAUUCAAUCCGCGUUUUUGGGGGCUUUGGCGUCCGGGUGUCUGAAGAGAAGUGUUCUUUAUUUUUAAUAUUUUCCUUUUUUUGGUUUAAUUUUCGAAAAUUAGGGGGGAAAAAAGUAAAAAAAAAAAAUAGAAAAAGAAAAUAGAAAAGUAGUAAAAAAAAAAAAUAAUAAGAACACGAGUUGUGGCGUUGUUGUAAUUUUUAGUUGUGGCUUUUUUUUUAAAAUUUGGUUUUGUGUAUUUUGUAUAUUUUUGGCCUACUAAUAUGAUGGGUAUUUUUGGCUUUUUUGAUGUAAGAGUUUUAUUAUUAUUAUUUUAUUUAGAUAAAACAAGUGAAUGUAACGAAUGGAGCGACGACACGUGUCGUCGUGUGGUGGACCCGGUUCAGAGAACUCCCUUAUGUGGCCUGGUCGGUUUGUCGCCGUUAUAUAUUAUUUAACUUUAAAUUUUCGACGUGAGUAAAAUGUACGGACAAUCCCUGUAAAAUGCGAAAUUUAAAACUGAGUACGUCCAAAUUUUUCUAAAUAUUACAGGUUUUGACCAUUAAAAUCUCUUAUUGUUAUUUUAAGUUAAAUUUGUAACAUUGUACUCAAGUUUUUCUUCUUGAGAUGCAUGUGAGAAAAUUUAGAGGGUUCCACUGUAAAACUAUUUAGUUUCAGGGACUAAGUAGAUAUUGUUACGCUUUAAAUAACACAUUGCGGUCCCCUUUUGAGUUGAGAAAUUACUUGGUGGCUAAGUAAACUAUUAUGGCACAAUCUACGUAGCUGUUGUUGUUACCAAAAAUAUAUAUAUAUAUAUACCACUUUUAACGGAGAAUGAUGUUGACACGUGGAUUUCGUAAAUCGCGACCUAUUAUCGACCGUUCGAUUGGGAAAUGUAACCGUUACACCGAAGAAAAUCCCGAGACAUGACUCGUCGCUUUGUUUUUGCAGUAGGUACAAUGCUUUAUCAUGUACGGUGUCACGGUGUGUAAUAAAAUUCGCCCUUCCUUUCUCGCGAAUUAUCGUAAAUGCCACUACGAGAGGAAAAAACUUUAUGAGCCAAAGCACUAAAAUUCCCUCCUCUUUUUUGCACUUUAUUCUCCUCUACUAAAGAUAUCUCUACUUUUCGCCAUUAAAAUUUCAUUAUUAUUAUUAUUAUUAUUAUUAUUACGUAAUUUACUAUUUUGUCGCUUUUUUGGGUACAGGUAAGUUUGGCACUUAUUUAUUUUACUAUUCUAUAAUUUAAAGCAAGGAUUAAAAUUCUCAUCAAGACAGACCGUAUCCAUCGUGCCGUACAAUAGAAUAUCGAUACGAUACAGCUUUCAUGCCAAUAGACACAACUUAAAAUUCUCUAUUCUUAAAAUUAGUAGAUAAUUUUCUCUACAAAGUUCAAAAGAUUUGAUAAAAAUAUACAAUAAAUAAUUAGUAUAUUUUAUUGCUAAAAAAUAAAUAAAUAUCUCAUGUCAUUUCAUGUCGGCACACAUAUGUUUUUUUGACCGGCAGGCAUCGACACGGCCCGACACGCACCGUGCUGUACCGCGCCAGCAUGUUUCGACACUUUAAUCCUUAGUUUAAAGUGUAUUAAUUUAGUAUUCUGUAGUUUUAUUUUUAUCUUUUUAUCAGAUUUUUUCGUUAAAUCAGUGAUAAAAUUAAAACUAAAAGGUAUUAAAGUGAAUACUCGAUAAACCUAGGUGAGAUAUCUAAAGUUUUUUUAUAUAAAAUUUAACGAAAUGUUUACAGAGCUGACGACGAAAAAAGAAAAAAAAAACUACAGGAUACUAAAUUGAUACAGUUUAAAUCAAACGGUAUUAGAGUGGAAAAGUACGAAACUACUUAAAUGGUAUUUGAAGCUUAUCCUAUAAUAUAGCUAGAGUAAUUAUUCUACGCUUUGAAAUGAUAAAAAAAAGUAAAGAAUUUUUUUUUAUUUUCUCCCCAUCCAAUUUUUUCCUAUUUACUAAUUUCUUUUUCAUCAUCUUUAAGCGUAUAAUAAUAAAAUAAAACCUUAUUAUAUUACUCAAUUAAAUCACAUAAUGUAUGAUGCUCCAAGCAGUGACAAUAGUAAUAAUGUGGGACUAAAUUCAAUAGUUUUAAAAUAUUUAUAAAAACAGAAGAUCAAGUAUAAAAACAAAUAUUUAUAAAAGAAUUUUAGGCAUUUUAAUUAUUUUAUGUGAGCUGUGAACAAAUUUUAAAUAAAAUAGAAAUACCGCAAACUUUAUAUAAAGAAUAUAGAAGCUUUGAUUUUAUUGCCCAAUUUUUGUAAUAUUUUAUAAUAAUUUAAUAUGUGAUAUCUAAUCUAAUUAAAGUUUAUUGUUAUUUAAUAAAAUAUGCUACCAAAAAAUAUAUAAAUACUACUAAAUAAAUAAUUAAAUCUAAAUAUUUUAGUGCUAACUUUUUUAUGGAAGGGCAUUUUGGGAAAUUGAAAGUGGGGUCGGUGGGAUUAGUAUUAAGUAUCUUGAGGGGUUUAGUUAAAUAAAUAUUUAAAAAAUAAAAAUGAGGUGAGGAUAAGGCCAAAUGUGAUGCAACUUCGAGGCGUCACAUAUUAAAAAAAAUAAAAAUUAAUUUAAUAAUUUUAAAAAUAAAAAAAUAAAUUUAUCUAAUUAUAUUUUAAAAUUUUAAUUUGAGUUAAUAAUGUUUUAAUUUAAUGUGGGUGUAGGUUGUAUAUAGUGAACUGUAGAGUUGAGGGAACUUUAUUGAGCAGUGUACUUUGUUGGGAAUUGGGAUAGGUCCCUGUUGAAUGGGAGGUUGUAUUAAUUAUUAUUAAAUUAAACUAAAAUUAAAUUUAAAUUAAUUAAAUGUCAUUAGCAAAAUAAUAAAGUACAUUGUGGGGAUGGUGAUGUAAAUGAUUUCUCAUAAAAAAAAAAAAAUUCCCCCAAUUUGUGUACAAUUUAAAAGCUUGUUUUUGGAAUAUAGGGUUUUUUGCUUUUGGAUAUAACUAUAUUUAAAAUAUUAUUUUUUAAUUGAUUAAAGCUUUGGAGAUAAAUAAUUAUUUUAUAUAAGAUAUGGGAUAAAUUUUGACUUUGAUUUCACGUAAUUUGAUUUUCUCCUAUUUAUUUCACACAGAGCCAAUUAAAUAUGGGCCAAUUGGAUCAUGUGUCUACAAGAACCAUUAAAGGGCCCAAAAACCAAUUUAUUGCCCCAAACUAUUCAUCUUGCAUUUUGAUUAUGGGCCAUUGUUUGUUCCUUUUUUUGUUGAAAUUAUCCAUGUUGAAUCCUUUUUAGCCUAAUGGUUUAAAUUUAAAUUUAAAUUUAAAUUUUAAAUUUCAAAUGGGUUCCCUUCAUUUGUGAUAUAACUAAAUUACCUAGAGUGUUAAUUAUCGAUUAAGAUAAAUUCAAGUUGCAAAAUAUGUUAUUAAUAUGGUCUUAUGGUAUCUCUGUGGGUCGCCCUCUGCGGUGUAGUAUCAUUUUCACUUUGCCGCUAUGUAGUUUAUAAAAUUUUACUUUGUCUUCAUAUGGUUUAAUUUUUAUUUUACCAAAAUAUUCUAAAUAAAAUAGGAUGUCAAAAUAAAAAAAAUUUGAAACCGCAAAGUGGCAAAGUAAAAAUGUUUUAGACUAUAUAGGAGAACAAAAUACAACAUUUUGAACUACAAAAUGAUAAAAAUAAAAAUAUAAGAAAAGUAUCCACCAAUGUUAAUUAUUAAGAAAAAUAAUCUAAUAAAUUAGUUAUGGAUGUGUUGUCAAGGAGAAUCACUAGAGAAUGUUAUAUUCUAACACAGAUUAUAAAAUAAAUUUGUGGAUAAUUAAUACUUAAAAGAGAAGGAGAAAUGCUAAGAUAGACUAUCUUAAGGACACAUCUUUUCUCACAGACUUGCUCGAAUUUGUAGUGGAUUGUAGUGUUAUUUAAUAUGGAAAACUUCAAAUACCACCCCUGCGAUUUCAUAUUUUUUCACUUUAGUAUCCUGUGCUUUAAAGUAUAUCAAUCUAGUAUCUUCUGAUUUCUCACUUUUUCACUUCAGUACCCUGUGGUUUAAAGUGCAUUAAUUCAGUACCUUAUGGUUUCAUUUUUCUCUUUUAGUCGGCUCCUCUGUUAAUAUUUCGUUAAAUUAUAUACAAAAAACUUCAAAUACUCUACCUAGGUUUAUCAAAUAUUUAUUUUAGUACUCUAAUUUUGUCACUGGUUUUUUCCCUCUAUUAAUAUUUCGUUAAUUAUAUACAAAAAACUUUAGAUAUCCUACAUAGAUUUAUCGAAUAUUCACUUUAGUAUUUUUUAAUUUUAACUUUGUCACUGAUUUAACGAAAAAAAUUAGUGAAAUGGACAAUAAAAAGAGAAAAAUAAAAACACAGGAUACUAACUUGAUACACUUGUGGUAUACUAAAGUGAAAAAGUGUGAAACCACAGAACCUAACUUGAUACACUUUAAAUCAUAGAAUAUUAAAGUGAGAAAACGUGAAACCACGGAGUAUUCGAAGUUUACCCUAUAUAAUAAAGUGUUAUCUAAAAAAUAAUAAACAAAUAUACUAAUUAAUUAAUAUAAAAAUUUUAAUUAAUUAGUACAAAUAUUUUAAAAUCUAUUAACCUAUAUGAAUCCUCAAUGAUUUUGCCAUGUGGCAAGUUUUCCUCCACCCUCACUAACCUUUUUUUAAAAUUAAUCUUUAUCAUGGCUUUUCCCCUCCCCUUCUCUCUAUUCAAUGACAUAUAAUCAAUGUGCUUUUAAUUUAUACGUUACUGAGUUUUUCCUCUUCAAUAUAAGUUCUUUCUUCUCCCUCAAACAAUUCUUAAUAUGCAAAAUUAAAAGAGGAGAGGUUAGUUUUGAUUUCAUAAUUGAUGUGGCAGUUCUAACCAUUUCAUGCUCAAAAGGGUGCAAAAUCAUGCAAACUUCUAUAAGAUUUUCAUCGCCAUCGUCGUCAUGAUUGCAACAUUAUCAUCUCCAUCUUCAUACGACUUUUGUAGAUUUUUUCUUUAAAUGGUGAUUCUAGACAAUUAUCAAUUUCAAUGGUUAUAUUGGUUAGUUCAAUUCAUAUAUUUUCCUACCUAAAAAAUAAAACACACUUGAAUUUUUAUUUUCCAAACUCCUUUCUUCAUCCUCUUUAAUAUUUUUUAUUUUUUCUUUUAUUAUUUAUCCGCCGCAUCGCGCGGGUUACUACACUAGUAUUAUAUAGAUUUGCCAACAUUUGGGACCCAAAGCAUUUUCCCCUCUUAAUUGAAGGGAAUCCUAAAAGCAAACAUACAAUUUAUUGUUCCCUGCCACCAACUCCUUACACUUAACUAUUCCAACAAACCAAAAUAAUUUUUACAUCACCAACAAAUUCAACCAUUGGAUGGAUUUUAACUCUUUUAUUUCACAUGGAAGCCAAUUUUAAAUUGAUUUUACUUUUUCCUUUUCUGAAAGAAUAUUUCAGUGGAGAGCCUACCACCGAAGUCGACUUCUUUAAAUAUAUAUAUUUUAAUUUUAAUAUUAAAAAAUAUCUAAUAAAUUUUUUAUGAAGACAAUAUUAAUAUGCGACAGCAGAUCGAUAUCAUUGAAGAGCUUUUCACUAAAGUUGUUUCUCCACACCUGACUCUCCCUAUCCUCAUCUAGUAAGUGAGGGUUAAACUCCGAAAGCCCCACCUCCAAGGCUCCAACUAAUACAUUAUCUAAUAUUAUUGAGAGAUUACAUUAUAUUACGUACGAUAAAAUAAAAAUAUAAUUAAAGAAUAUAUUAUUUUCUUUGUAUAUCAUAUUACAUAUAUAUUUUGAGUGAGGCUACUAUGCUAUCGAAAGCACGGAGCCUUUCGUGCUUCCAGCUCGUUUUCAAUGUUGGGACUUUCGAAUUGUCGAUCGGCUCCGUUAAACUUGAUCCAGAGUAUUUGGAGUACCUAGAAAAUAAAUUUUAUUAUUUUUCGAUAUCAUUUGUCUAGUGAUCGAAUGAGCUCAAAAUCAACAAAUUUCAAUGGCCGUAGUGAACCGUUUGCAAGUUUAACGGUGUAGAAAUAUCUAAAUCACGUGAAAUUUUGAUAGAAAAUUUUUUAUACUAUAAAACAAGAUCAAUGUCUUUGAUUUAAAAUUUUAAUGUCAUAUUAUUAUAUUUUGUAAGCUUUUUUUUUUUAGCCGUUGAUUUUGAGCCCCUUCGUUCGCUAGGCAAAUGAUAUCGUAAAAUCAUAAAAUUUAUUUUCUAGUUACUUCAAAUACUCUAGAUCAAAUUUAACGGAGCCGAUUGACGAUUCGAAAGUCGUAAUAUCGAAAACGAGUUAGAAGGCUCCGUGCUUCCGAUAGUAUAGUAGCCUCACUCAUAUAUUUUUUAUAAAUUUUUACAAAAAAAUACGAAAUAUUAUACAUGUAUAUAUUUUUGACCAAACUCCGCUUCGAUGGAUCUCGUUACCAAACAGGCCCUGAGAGAGAGAGAAACUGCCAGCAGCACCAGCAGCAAAAAAAAAAUUGUCCUUAUUUUCUCUCUCUAGAAAAAUCAAGGGUUCUAAACAUCACUAAAAAAAUGUCACAAGAAAGUUACACACAAAACACAGAGAGAUGUGAAUUAAAAAAAGGAGUGUCAUCCUCCCCAGUUCAUUACCUACUCCACCAUUCUUAGCCUUGUGAAUGUUUUGGAGCAAAAAAUUCAACAAGAAUCAUCAAAACAACUGUUACGACAAUCACACAAAUAUAAACGAAAAACGCGAUCGUAAAGCAGAUAAAUCAUAAAGCAGUAAAAUAAAACGGAACAUAAGAACUUACGUGAAAAAAUUUUUGUAGAAAAAAAUUACGGGCAAAGAGAGAGUGAACUUCACGGCAAAAAAAAAAAAAAACCUUUUUUUUCAUCAUAAUAUAUUUUUUUUAAAAAAUUUAUCACACUGUAAAACUGUUGAUGAAAUAUAAAAUCAAACUCAAUAAUCAAAUUUCGAGUCAAAUACAACAGUAACCAUAAGCAUCAUCAACUGCAGCAACUAAAAGAAGAGGAAGAAGAAGAAGAAAAAAAAAAAAAGAGAAGAAGAAGCAGAAUAAGGGUGGAGAGAGAGAGAGUGAAAAAAAAGAGAGAAGAAGAAAAAGAAGAAGAAGAAGAAGAAGAGGAGGAGAGAGAGAGAGAGAGAGAAGAAGAAGAAAAAGAAGAAGAAGAAGAAGAAGAGGAGGAGAGAGAGAGAGAGAGAGAAGAAGAAGAGAAAGAGAGAGAAAAGAAGAAGAAGAAGAGAGAGAGAGAAAGAGAGAGAGAGAGAGGAAGAAGAAGAAGAAGAAGGGGAGAGAGAGAGAAGAAGAAGAAGAGAGAGAGAGAGAGAGAAGAAGAAGAGAGAAAGAGAGAGAGAGAGAGAAGAAGAAGAAAGAGAGAGAGAGAGAAGAAGAAGAGAGAGAGAGAGAGAGAAGAAGAAGAGAGAAAGAGAGAGAGAGAGAGAAGAAGAAGAAAGAGAGAGAGAGAGAAGAAGAAGAGAGAGAGAGAGAGAGAAGAAGAAGAGAGAAAGAGAGAGAGAGAGAGAAGAAGAAGAAAGAGAGAGAGAGAGAAGAAGAAGAGAGAGAGAGAGAGAGAAGAAGAAGAGAGAAAGAGAGAGAGAGAGAGAAGAAGAAGAAAGAGAGAGAGAGAGAAGAAGAAGAGAGAGAGAGAGAGAGAAGAAGAAGAGAGAAAGAGAGAGAGAGAGAGAAGAAGAAGAAAGAGAGAGAGAGAGAAGAAGAAGAGAGAGAGAGAGAGAGAAGAAGAAGAAGAAGAAGAAGAAGGGGGAGGGGGAGAGGGAGAUGACACCAAAAAAGCUCAUCUUCCUCCUCCUGAUCAUAUUCUCAACAAUCUCCUUCAUCAGGCUCCUAAUUCUCACAAGCAUCACCUCAGAUCCAAUCCCCACACCCCCCCCUCCCCCUCCCCUCUCCUCCCGAAAUCACCUCCGCUCCUCGAAUCCCCAAACUCCCAAACCCCCACCCCCCACCCCCCCUUCUUCAGAUUCAGACCCCUUCUCCCCCAAAGAGCUCCUCCUCCUCCAAACCCUCAUCUCCACCAGAUCCCCCCGCAACAUCCUCUUCUUCGGAAUCACCCCCCAGUUGCUCGAUCUCGCCAUGUCGAACGCCGCAGGACACACCAUCAUCUUCCUCGUCAACGAAGAAUUCGAAGAAUUCGACAGAGUUCGCGCCCGAGGGAUCGAGGGAAUCGGAAUCUACUACAUCGAAUGUGAAGUGAUGGCAAAACAAGCAUACGAGUUGCUCGAGUAUGCGAGAGUGACUCCGGCUUGUCGGCCGAACGACGGGCCGACGUACGAAUCGAGAUGCCGGCUGGCACUGCGGGGAUUGCCGGAGAUUGUGAAUAAGGUGCGGUGGGAUGUGGUUGUGGUCGACGGGCCGGGCCGCGGCGGGGGGCCGGAGGAGCCGGGACGGAUGGCCGCGAUCUACACGGCUGCGUUGCUCGCGAGGGCGGGGAAUUCGACCGAUGUCCUGGUGCAUAACGUCGAUCGCACGAUCGAGAAGUGGUACUCGUGGGAGUUCUUGUGCAGUGAGAAUUUGAUCUCUUCGAAAGGGCGGCUUUGGCAUUUCAGGAUCAGAGGAAGAUCCAAUUCCGGCAGAUUUUGCAGCUGAGCCUGCUUUCGCGAUUCAGUAGGUGAAGAAUUCGCUCUCUCUUUCUCGAGUUUUCGGAUUCAAUUUGAGUAGGAAUUAUGAAGAAAUUGGAAACAGAUGCAAUUCUAUUGAGUGAUGUGGGGAAAAAAAAAGCUGGAUUUUUCGAAUCUAUUUCAUGUUCUAUGCUACUGAAAAAUCCGGUCGAAACAGAAGCUCUUCUGUAAAGUUUUCAGACAAAAAGUGAAUCACGAAUUUAUACUUGUUUGUGCAUCUGCAUUGUAAUCUUUGUGCGCAUUAUCAUGUAGAAUAGUUCUAUUUUUUCAUUCAUUUAGUGAAUAGAUGAUUGGAUUGUUUUAUUUGUAGCUGUAAAAUGUUCAAUUUGAGGUUGAUCAAUGGACAGUGAUAAUAAGCUCAAGUACCACUUAUAACAGAUAUAUUUCUUUUUUCUUUUUUUUUUAAAGAACUAAUUGCAUAUGCUACUUCAAUAACUUCAUUAUAGUUUAGUUUUCUUGCGCGAAAUUUAACAGGAUAUCUCAACAAUUUGGGUUGCAUUAUUUUAAGAAUUUUAACCUACUAAGUAGAAAGAUAUACAGUAGCAUGUAACUCCUCAUCCUUCAUAGCAUCUAGGAGAUUCAAGCAAUUGUAGAAGCCUUAGUGAAUCUUUAUUAGGUUUCAGUUAAGAAUUUAUUUUGUCCCGACAUAUUCGCCAGUUUAUUUAUUUUAUCACAGCUUCUGAUUCCUGUCAAAAACACUCUGUCUGGUAUUGUUUUUGGUUGAAGAAAUUUAUUUAGCUCCAAAUCCAAUAUCCCCUCCAGGAAUAUCUGUGUUUAAUCUUAAAUUUUAGAUGAAAUUAUGAACAUUGUCUCGUGCAAUUUAAACUAACUCUUCUUCCUAAACUUUCAAGAGGAAAAGACUUAAAUUUUAUGCUUUUCAUUAGCAGUAUCAAAUGCUAGAGGGUAAUCAUAGUAUGUUAUUAAACCCUUUUAAGUAAUGAGAUUUUGCAUCUUUUAUGUAGCUCUCCAUGUUUCCAGUGUUAACUUCUUAAAAGAGUAGAAUGAUCUUGUGUAGUAAUUUAGUCCCUGCGCUCUGAUUUUCUGCAUAUUUUCUAUCACAACCUUAAAUAGUCUACAUAAGAAAUCAAAAUACUUAUUCUCUUCUUGUGUUAAGCAUUGCAUUCAAAACCUGUAAUUAUCGAUAAGCACGAAAACAAAGAGGAAACAAGGAUCAUUAAAUCCAUCGAAUCUCUAAUUCCCAACAAAGCAUUCUAAAGUAUUUGUACAUUGUGAUUCUUAGUUACAUAAAAUGCAUGACACAAACUUUUAAUGGUACAUUCAUUCACAAUGACAUGAGACUCUCUGCAGCUCAGCACCUGCAUGCUCCUCUCCAAGCCUUCUUCAUUUGGGGGUGAAAGCCUAGGAAGAUGAAACAGUUGUUAGUGAGAGUAUGAAGGAUUCGAAUCGGCUUGAUAUCGGCGUGUAAUCGCAAUUCAAGUGUUUGAAAUAAAGUUUUGUCGUGCCGUGCCGUGCCGUGGCACUGAGCAUGCGUAAUCGAACUUCUCUCGAUUACACGGUUUAUAUGCAGCCUGACGGUGAGCUCUAAGUGUUUGAGUUAGCAUGUUUCUGAAAGCACGGGAGGGGUCGGUGCUUCCUCUUUUUCGCAUGUUGAAUGCGUACUUGGAUUCACGUGCGCUCCGCUUGGCCAUCAUGUGAGCACGCACUUAAAGAAGCGCUCGCACGGAUCUCGAUGCGCAUCGAAAACAUGCGAAAAGAAAGGAGUUCAUGAGAUCGACGACGGUGUUGGGUUUGGCAACUUACAGCAAAGAUUGUGGCAUGGCCAGGGUCAGCAAGGUGAGCAAAGAGAUUGUCAAUAGGGCCAGUCCCAGUGUAAACGGCCUGGAACCAAGCCCCCAUCACAGCCAACAUGGCCAGCCUCCCAUUCUUGAUCUCCUUGGUCCUCAGCUCCUUCACCUUCUCAGGAUCACCACUCCCCCACCCCAGCGGGUCGAACCAGAGCCCGCCCGGGUACCCGACAUCCGUGCCAGUUAGCUUGUUGUUCGGGAAGAUCGGGUCGGUGUUCACGCACCCGGGUUUUAUGAUGUCGGCCCACCGCCGGCCCUCGGCCCACCCUAUCAGGAUGAGCUCGACUAUGAACAGCGUGGUGGUGUCCGUGAAGUAUUGGAGCUCGCCGGCAGUGUACCUGUUCGAAUGUGAAAAAGCUUAAGCUUCUAGAAAACAAUUAACACGCAAACCCUUGUAAAUAUGCGUGUAAAUGCUCCCUGGAAAGAGUAUAUAUGAAAGAAUUUAGCUUAUUUCAAAGUUCUAAGGAGCAUAUGCGACAAUUUCGAAGUUUUCAAGGGUAAUUUGAUAUGUUAAAAGUUUCGAGCAUAGACAUGAGUCAAGGGGUGAGCGUUAGAAAUGAAAAUAUGAGAGCUUUUAGAUGAAAAAGAGAGGUUAUUUUCACAUUACCAUGAGGGGGUGUUGAGGAUGCCGAUUUUUGUCAAGAAUUCGGGGAUGAAGAUGCCGGCGGCACCGAGCAUUGCCCACCGGCAGUGCACCAGCUCGGACUGCACGUUCCAUCUCAGGGUCUCUGGGUCAGAUCCUGCGUAAAAAAUUGUUCUUCAAUGCCAUGUAAGAUCUAUGGCUUUUUCAUCAACUUUUAUCUUAGUAAUUGAAGUUCAAUAUGUUUUUAUACCUGAUGGUUUAUUUUAUGUAAAGCAAAGACAUAGUUUGACAAAAUUCAAUGAUCAGUAAGUUCAUUUCAGAGAAAGAUUCAGGCAUUAUAUGCUCAAAUAUGUAUCUUCUAAUUGCUUGUAAAAGUGCUCAACUUCUGAUGCAGUUAAAGUAAAAGUUUCAUAUUAGAGCUUUCGCUUUUACCGUAGAAGUAGAGAAUGAAUAUAAAUUUACUCGCUAAUGUAGAAAAUUUAGGAUUAAGUCUUACCGAGACCCAAAGGAUCGAAACCGAAAUCUCCUGGAAGGCUGCAGCAGCAGAAAGAGAGAACAUUGAUACACUUAUUAUAUGAAAACAAUAUCGGUAUAAUGUAUCGUCAGUUCCUGUACUUUCGCAAUAUUGCAAAUUAGUCCCUAAACUUUACGCUUAUACGAAAGUUCAGUCACUUUAAAACUGUUUAAGUGAAAAGUACAAGAACUAAGCGGGAAUAUAUAACACUUAUCCGCAGAGAUAGGAUAAAGAAGAUGAACCUGCCAUCAAGCCAUGGAGGAGGGGUGCUUCCCGGGAACCAGAUAGGCCUUUCGGUCGCCUCGGCUGCCACCGAGAGCGCUUUUCGUGCUGUCGGGGCGGCCCAGUUCGUCUUCGCUUGCCUUAGUUUCCUUCCACUGAGGAAGGAUGCCCUUGUUGCACUCAGACCAUUCUGAGAUCUGACAAACAUAAAAAUUGCAAUCAAUUAUUACAGUUUGGAGAUCGGAGAUGUCGCAGAAGCAACUGUUGUGAUCUGAGUUUAGACAGAAUCUUAGAAUAUCUUAGUAGAAUAUCAAGUUAUGACCAACUAAAUGGGUUAUUUCUUUGUAGUACAAGGCCAUGAGUAAUCAACAAAAAGAGAAUAUAAAGGAAAUCUCUUCUGGUACUUGGCACAAAGAGUUAGUUAGCUUUUGAAAUACUGUUUAACAAAAGAAGUUUCAGGUUAAAAUAUAUGGAGAAGGGCUUUUUUGGCCUGCUUUGAGCUUCUUAAAAAAGCACACUUGUUGCUGCACCAGAAGUAGAAACUUUAAAUAGAAGCUCUUUUUUUUUUUUUUUUUUUUUUUUUUUUUUUUUUUUGUUUGACUGCCACCUAGGCAGCCCACUNUUUUUUUUUUCUUUUUUUUUUUUUUCAAAGCCUGCUUUCACCUAGACAAAAACAUAUCACUUUUAUUUGUCAAGCAUUUGUUUAUUAUUUCUCAGAUAAAAAAGCUGUUAGACGCGCAAAUUGAAAAGCAUUAGCAGAAGCCGUGCCCAAUAAAUAGGCACAAAAUGAAAUGAAAAACAGACUAAUUUCUUUACAUGUAUGAAAUAUAUUGACUACAAUGCUUGUCUAUUAUUUCUCGAAUAGAAAAGCUGUUACAGAAGUGAGCCCCAAAAGGUACAAAAAAUAAAAUGAAAAGCAGAUUAAUUUCUGUGGAUACGUACAAGUCCAUUGAUCACAAUAUACAACUAACAUGCAUGCACAUACUUUACGAGCCUGACGGGACACAAACUCAAGACGUUCUAUUCUCGUAUCAUAUUAAAUCAUAUCUCCAAUAAUUUAAAUUACCGAAAACAGUAUUUCUAAUGUUUAUAUUCAACAUAUAGUUAUAUUAGAUUAGAUAACUUUAAUCUUAGUACCUGGCUACAGCUGCAACAGCAGAAGAGGAAGCAGAAACUGAAGCCAUUAUUGUUGCUGUUGUUGCUGCUGCUGCUGUUGUUGUUUGCUUUGGUGUGGUGAGUGGGGAGAGUAGGGGAGGAGGAGCCACCUGUUUAAUGCAUGGGAGUGGGAGGCUUAUCCCAGAGGGAUAGGAGAAUGGGUUCUUGGGUCUCUCGUGUGCUGCCACGUGGCACAGAGAAUCCACUCCUUGGUUUUCCCACCACCCAGGAUCUGGCUGAGUUGGAUUGUGUCUCCCACUGUUGUGGCUAGGAUGCAAUGCUCUUAGCAAAAGAUCUCAUGGAGGGAAUGAAUGGGUUGGGGGAGAUUGGGUUAGAUUUGGGUGGUGGGUCUAGUUAGGGUUCGCAAUGGGCCUUACCCAAUCCAAUUCAAUCCGAAUCCUAUUCCAAUAUUUUAUGGAUCUUAAACAUCUUAUGCAGCUUUCGCUAUUGACUUUGAGACUUUAUUGAAUUUGAGACUUCAAAAAGAUAUCACCACGCUCUCGACCGAUGACAUUUAUAUGAUCAUGAGAUUUAUACAAAUUAUGUUGUGGUUGGUCUCGCAUAUCACCCAAGCAAACAAGUGAUUUCGGCUGAAGCAGGCGUUAACAUUAUAAAUGGCCUGUUUGAUGUUCACCGAGUUUACUGACACUUUUCAUUACUAUCACAAAGAAAAAGAUUUAUAUUUGGAUUUUGGUCUUUAAAUUUUCCUUUUUUUAUAAAAAAAAGAAUCAUGUAGAACCCUUUUCUCUUUUCCCCCCUUAUUUCAGAUAGUAAAGGACAAGCAUGUUUCGGAUACUGAAUCAGAAAACCAAGUUUACACAGCAAGAGCAUUUGCGCAGGUAAUCUUUUGUUAAAGCUGUUCAAAUAAGCAAUCACGGUGUUCUCAUUAAAAUCAUCUUGACAACUCACUAAAAAAUUAGCGUCCCGCUACAGCAAAAACUCUCAGCAGCGCCUUGUGGUUGAAUUACUUCAUCCUCCCACUAAAUGUGUGCAAGAAUUUUGAACAUACUGUCUCCGAACGGAAACAUUACGACUUUGUUUUGAUGUCAAAACAAGUUCUACGAUGAUCACAGCAAAUUUUCAUUCAAUGAUUGUCAUAUCCUUCCACCACAUCUUGUAGUGCUUCUCAUUUGAAACUUUUACCCAACACUUCAUGAUAACCAGCGCAUUCCACUUCCCAAAUAGAUGAUCAACUUAAAUGUUAGUAUCCAAAGACAAAUGUUAUCUAUCACCUCUACUGAAAACCAGCUUUAAAGCAAAAGAAAGAAAAGAAAACAAGCAGCUGACAGUUUGGUCUCACUGGAGCUUCCACUGAAGUGCUUCCUGUACAGAGCUUUUUAGAGAAGCAUUAACAACAUUUUACAGUAAAAUUCAUACAACAGCAUCUCAUAGAGAAGCAGAAGCACAAGUUACAUAUAAGAGAUUAUGCUCCUGAGACCCAGAAGCUCAUUUCAGAGCAAAAAAGCUCCAGCCUUUUAUUGUUUUUCAAACACCUAAUUACUGCUGCUUGGAUCCAAAGCUAAAGAGGCACUUUUAGGCUAUCUUACAUGAAACCAAAAAACAAUAAGCAAAAAAUGAUAAGCAAUGAGACCCGAUCAGGUUACUACCAGAAAAAGAAAUCAACAGUAGACGAAACCAACAUAAAGCAAUAAAAAAAUAUGAAGCCACCAAGAUUAUGUGCAAGCUACCAACUUCGUAAUUUGUGUUAUAUAGUUGAAUCCAUUUUCAUCAUGGCCUUCGUAUACACAUAUUGUCAACACCUAGUUACACUGAAAUGUUAAUCUUAGAUGCACAUGUUUACCAAAAAUUUCCUCCCAACUUUAUGAGCCGUAGAUCCUUCCCGUUUGGCAAACACUUCGCCCAAGGACAUUUCUCGUUUUACCCGUCCCCUUAAGACACUUCCUACUUGAUCAAACCCAAGGAAUGCACCAUAUAACAAUCUCGACUGACCAUAUCCAAGCUACUGAUGUUUUCCCUAGGUGGAGGUCUUAUUUAAUCUUUCCUAAUAAGAGAGCUCGAGCACUAAAUAGGUGCUCGGAAUUUGGAGCACCAAUAGAUCAUAUGAUACCACUCAUUCGAAUGAUUGGACCCUAUGAUCUUACAGUGCUCUGAAUUCGGAGUACCUAUUCAAUGCUCCGAAUUUGAAGCCCAUGGAUUUCAACAACCUAACGUCAAUAGUUGUUCACAUUUAUUUUCUAGCUGUCCAUCACCAUAGUUCAUAAGCUAUAGUUGGCUCUGUAAACGGCAAUUAAAAUUUACCUUUACCAUUACAUAAAACAACACAAAGGGAAUUCUCCACAUAAAACAUUGGCCUUCUAUUCUGCCCACAAAAUCCACAUCAAUUUUCCUUUCAAAUGGACUAUAGUUCUCCAGUAACGACUCCACUCCCUCUUAGGUAUUUCUUAUCCAAAAAUAUUUCACUUUUCAUCUUGACGAUCUGCAUUGAUUUAACCAUUGUGCUAUUAAAGUAGAUUCAUAUUUAAAUCAGCUAGCUAUCAAUCCUUACUAUAAUUACCUAAUUAUGCAAAAAGGAAUUAUGUUAAUUAACUAUCUUUAACUAUUAGUCAGUUAUAUUUGACCAGUUACCCAUGUAUCCUUUCCAAUAAAUGAGUAACGACAUUAUCAUUUCACAUUAAGUUCGCACACUUGAACUCUUUACCAACCGACCUCCUAAAUCAAAUUUUGUUUGGAUAUUAACUUGCUUAACCCACCUUUCAAAGUAGACAAAUUGUGGAUAAGCACUAGAGCAUUUGCUCUCUCUUUCAUUCCCCCACCUCUUUGAUACUACUCCUGAUAGCACCUUACAAUCCUUAACAAAAACAUCUAGCAACUAAUCAAGUAACAAAAAAGUCUAUCUACUACUAGGAUCAUUCAUGGGUCAAGAUUAAAAUGUUUUAGAAUAUUAAAUGAAACACUAUAGAAACUCUAUCUGUGGCAUCCUCUAACUCACUUUUUCUCUGAGGCCAUAAUCUUCAUGCGCACACACAAUUUUGCUAUCCUUUUAAUUUUUUAAUAUACCAUCUCCAUCCAGAAAACCUUCUCUGACAUGAAUUACUACCUCCAUCUCAUCUUAGUCUCAUCCAGCAAUCGCAUCACAAAGUACCAUUUGAAAAGCUUAUGCAUUAGUAAAAAACAACUCCUUUCUCUGAACAGUAAGUACUCUAAUUAGAUCCUAUGACUCAACCUAUUGCAAAGAAUGAAAAAACCUGAAUCCUUGACAAACAGCACUUUGUCCUACACUCUUCCCAACCUUUCCGCAAGCUUAUAAUUUGGGGGGGGGGUGUUGGAGAAAUGCUACGCAUACACGCCAAGAGGGAUGUAUGAUGUACACCCCAUCCAUCCUAGGGUGAAAAUUUUUUCACUAAUCAUAUCGAUGCGACUAGCAAAGACCAUCCUACUCUAGGGAGAGGGAGCAAUGCUACGCAUGCACCCCAAGAAGGGUGUAUGAUGUACACCCUAUCCAUCCUAGGGUGAAAAAUUUUUCACUAGUCACAUCGAUACAACUAGUAACAAUCAUCCCACCCUAGAAGAGUGGAGUGUACAUCAUACACUCCUCUUAGGGGUGUAAAGGUAGCUUUUACAAAAAAAAUAAACAAAGCUUGAUUUCAAAACAUUUUGAUAAAUCAAACUGAUAACUUAUACUGCUUCAUUAAAGAAUAUAGCAACACAGUUAACUUUGUAUGUUGACGUCAAUUAAAGACAGCUUAGUACAAUCAGAAAAAUUUGGCCCUACCUCCAUAGUCUAGCUUCGACAAUUAUACAGCGAGUGUCCUAAAGCUAAGCCUUCUUUGAGCCAUUCUAGUAAUGACUAAAAUACUUCAUUUUCUAAUUGGUUUCAGACCCUAAUCUUAAGUCAGCACUAACUAAAACCAAAAUGUUCCUAUAAAAUGAAACAGAAGGACUCCAAAUAAUUACACUUUAAUUUCUUUAGGCUAUGUUUGGUUGGGGGGUUAAGGGUGGAAUAAAGAGUUUAUUCCACCCUUAUCCCCUAAACACAAAAAAAGUUUGGUGGGAACACUAAUUCCCACCUUAACGGGCUAUUCUAGAAUAGCCCGUUAAGGGGUGGGAACUAGUGUUCUCACCCCAAGGUGGAACAAGCUGGGAUAACCCAGCUUGUUCCACCCGUGGGGAGAGAGAGUGAGAGAGAGAGAGAGAAUUUUUAAUUUAUUAUAAAAUUUAAAUUUUGUAAGUUCAAAAAUUAAAAUUUAUAAUUUUUAAAAUUAUAAAAUUAAAAAUUUAAAUUUUAAAUUGUUUAAUUUUAAAAUUUAAAAUUUGAUAUUUUAAUUUUUUUUAUAUUUAGAAUUUGAUAUUUUGUAUUUUUAAAUCAAAAUUUCAUCUUAAAUUUAAAGUUUAAAAUUUUAAAUUUUAAUUUUUUAAAAUUGUAAAUUUGAGAUUUUAAAAUUUUAAAAUUUAAAAGUUUAUACUUUAAAUUCUAAAAUAUAAAUAUAAAAUAUAAAAAUUUAAAUUUUAAUGUAAAGAAAGGGAUAAUAUCAUUGUUUUUUAUUUAUAACUACCCACUCUAAUUUUUAUUUCAUCUUACCAAACCAAACACUAUUUUUUUUAUUCUCAGGAAUAAUUCAAUUUUCAUCCAAACGCAAAAUUGAUCUAAUCCCCGCUUAUACCUCAAUUUAUAUCUAUCCCUGGAAUAGCCACUUUUUGCUUAUCCCCGAACCAAACAAUACCUUAAUGUUCAACUCUGAGAAUUCACAUAAUUGUUAACUCUUAAAUCUAAACAACUUAACUUAAAGAGUAUCCACAAUUUGUAAUAUGACCCUCUAUCAAUAUUUUCCGCAUCUGCCUCAAGAAAUUGUCUUUUUUCAAACUUACAUAUGAUUUAUAAACAAACUGUGAUACGCGAACAAAAGCCAACCGCAUCAGUAGCAUCAGUAUGUAACUUACCACGCCUCCAAUGCAGUACCUGAAUUUCUGGAGUUCCACCUGAGUCUUAUUGCAAUUCUUAAGAAUCAAAACAAGUAGAUAUAUGGGUAAAGAUCUAAUAAGUAUGAAGGAAGAAAUAUGCACAUAUCACAAUGCCUAACUGCUUAAUGUGUAGUAAACCGCUAAAGCAUGAUAAGAGAUUAUUUCAGAGUAUUCAACAACAACAAUUGCUCCUCUCCUACCCCAGCAAAAGCCCAGAUGCCCAAUUCUAUGGAACCACCAUAUGGUUCAAAUUUGUAAUGCUUUGCCACCAUGUGGUUGUUGUUCUAUUCUUCUGUUAGACAUGUAAUUUAAAUCAUCAUUAAAAACGAGCACAUGGCAGCCAUGUGACUCGUUAAAACACAGGAUCCAACUCCUUAAUCAAUUACUUUUAAAGAG
rnacentral:lncRNA from 1 species